rnacentral:rRNA from 1 species
AGUGAACGCUGGCGGUAGGCCUAACACAUGCAAGUCGAACGGCAGCACAGUAAGAGCUUGCUCUUACGGGUGGCGAGUGGCGGACGGGUGAGGAAUACAUCGGAAUCUACUUUUUCGUGGGGGAUAACGUAGGGAAACUUACGCUAAUACCGCAUACGACCUACGGGUGAAAGCAGGGGAUCUUCGGACCUUGCGCGAUUGAAUGAGCCGAUGUCGGAUUAGCUAGUUGGCGGGGUAAAGGCCCACCAGGGCGACGAUCCGUAGCUGGUCUGAGAGGAUGAUCAGCCACCCGGGAACUGAGACCCGGGCCAGACUCCUACGGGAGGCAGCAGUGGGGAAUAUUGGACAAUGGGCGCAAGCCUGAUCCAGCCAUACCGCGUGGGUGAAGAAGGCCUUCGGGUUGUAAAGCCCUUUUGUUGGGAAAGAAAAGCAGCAGGUUAAUACCCCGCUGUUCUGACGGAACCCAAAGAAUAAGCACCGGCUAACUUCGU